rnacentral:lncRNA from 1 species
ACAGAAACUAAAACAGGAAGUACCGGUGCUAAGGUCCAUUCAGCACAAGUCUGACCAUUCGGAAUACAUGCUUCAAGACUGUUUUGAUCACGCGGACUGGGAUAUGUUCCGGGUUGCCUCGGAUAAUAACAUUGAUGUAUACACGGACACGGUGGCUGAGUUUAAAAGGAAGUGUAUAGGGGAUGUUGUUCCCACUGUGACUAUUAAAACCUACUCAAACCAGAAACCGUGGAUAGAUGGCAGCAUUUGUGCUAAACUGGAAGCGCGAAGCACCGCAUUUAACCAUGGCAAGGUGACUGGGAAUAUGGUUGAAUACAAACAGUGUAGUUAUUCCCUCCGUAAGGCAAUCAAACAGGCAAAACGUCAGUACAGAGACAAAGUGGAGUCGCAAUUCAACGGCUCAGACACAAGACGUAUCUGGCAGGGUCCACAGACAAUCACAGAUUACAAAGGGAACACCAGCCACGUCGCGGACACCGAUGUCUUGCUCCCAGACAAGCUAAACACCUUCUUUGCCCGCUUUGAGGAUAACACAGUGCCAUCGACACAGUCCGCUUCCAAGAACAGUGGGCUCCCCUUCGCCGUGGCUGACAUGAUGCAAUUGAACUGCAUGCUGCUGUAUCUCACCUGGACAAGAGGAAUACCUACAGUUGAAGUUGGAAGUUUACUAAGGUACCAAAAGGGGGUUGGCAUCAAUCAGAGAGGAGCUGUCAGUGGUGCAGAAGUUCCAGUCCUACACCCAAGAUGCCGACCAGAACUACGACUUUGCCAGCAACAGUGUCGUCCAGCAUCUUGAGCCCGGCGAUGAGAUCUACAUCAAGCUGGACCGGGGAUAAGGCAAGAAGUACAGCACCUUCUCCGGCUUCAUAGUCUACGCCGAUGAACAGAUCAUCUAUUUUACGCUAGGCUAUUCACUUCAUCUGCUAUAUUCUCUCGUUUAGAUUGGUUAACCCGCUGUCGUUUAGAAGACAGGUGGUUAAAGAGAAACUGGGGGACCUUGACACAGAAGUGAACCUUUAAAUUUACACUAUAAUGGAUGUUUAGUUUUACGAGUAAAAAUCU